GCCACGGUGGUCUAGCGGAUAGAACGCUGGCCUUGUAAUCCUGGGGUCUCGGGUUCGAUUCCCGGCGGUGCCC
rfam:Zootermopsis nevadensis contig26197, whole genome shotgun sequence.